AGCUCCAUUAGCGUAUAUUAAAGUUGUUGCAGUUAAAAAGCUCGUAGUUGGAUUUCGGUUCGGGUCGGGGCGGUGGCGUCGCGAGACGUCUACCUCCCGGCCAGUCUCUCUUCCCGAAGACUGCGUGUGCUCUUCAGUGGGUGCGCGUCGGGACUCGGGACGUUUACUUUGAAAAAAUUAGAGUGUUCAAAGCAGGCCGGUGCUUGGAUACAUUAGCAUGGAAUAAUGGAAUAAGGCUUGGGUCUUAUUUUGUUGGUUUUCGAGACCGAGGUCAUGGUUAAGAGGGACAGUUGGGGGCAUUCGUAUUCAAUUGUCAGAGGUGAAAUUCUUGGAUCUGCGAAAGACGAACGAGUGCGAAAGCAUUUGCCAAGAGUGUUUUCAUUAAUCAAGAACGAAAGUA
rnacentral:rRNA from 1 species